GAUGAACGCUGGCGGCGUGCCUAAUACAUGCAAGUCGAGCGAACAGACGAGGAGCUUGCUCCUCUGACGUUAGCGGCGGACGGGUGAGUAACACGUGGAUAACCUAUCUAUAAGACUGGGAUAACUUCGGGAAACCGGAGCUAAUACCGGAUAAUAUAUUGAACCGCAUGGUUCAAUAGUUAAAGACGGUUUUGCUGUCACUUAUCGAUCGAUCCGCGCCGCAUUAGCUAGUUGGUAAGGUAACGGCUUACCAAGGCAACGAUGCGUAGCCGGCCUGAGAGGGGGAUCGGCCAGACGGGGACUGAGAGACGGUCCAGACUCCUACGGGAGGCAGCAGUAGGGAAUCUGGCGGAAUGGGGGAAAGCCUGACGGAGCAAGGACGCGUGAGUGAGGAAGGUCUUGGGAGCGUAAAAGGCUGUUAGUAGGGAAGAACAAAUGUGUAAGGAACUAGGCACGUCGUGACGGUACCUGAUCAGAAAGCCACGGCUAACUACGUG
rnacentral:rRNA from 1 species